CCGACAAUCCAGAGCAUGCUGGGGGUGGGGGAAGCCGGGACGCAGCCCCACCUCCUGCGUCGCGAUGCAGGAGGGACGUCAGCACCGGGGGCGGGGCAGAUGUUGGGGACACAAACCCCAGCGGGUUAUUUAAACCAGGGGCCGGAGCCAGAAGGGGGGGAAGGAUGCCUGAAGGCCAAGCCCUCCCCCCCCCGACUGAGGAGCAAGGCCCAAACACUGGAAGAAGACGGAGACAGCCGGCUACAGGCCACCGGCGGAGACAUCCAUCAGAUGACACUUGUGAAGUGAAUGAUACUAAUGCCAGAAUCACAGCUGAACAACAGAAUUAAUCAAAGCACUGAGGCAAUAGCAUUGGCAGAGGGAUGAAGGCAAUGCAUGUGGAAAACAUGUGAUAAUGAAGGGACCUGAAUGAAACACUUUAUUCCUUCACACAUUCUUCUGUUUCCAGUCCCAGAGAGUGAAGCAAACAGCUUUUGAUUAAGAAAGAAAAAGUGUUGAUCCUGAUUGGAACAGACAAAAGAAUUUUCUAUUCCAGAGCCUCUAUUUAAACACUGACUCUUGGCAGGACAGAGCUAACUCAAUGCACUAGCAGUGUUGGUUAUUAGAGCUUCAUCACAUGGCAAUAGCCCAGCAAGUUCAAAACCAGACUUCAUCCCUGGAAUUGAAAGACAUGCCAGAAGCAGAUAGGUCGCACUCUUCAAAAGAUGGCAAAGUAAUUGCCUUGCAGAGGGACGUUAAAAUCUGUUGGCAGACCUUUCAGGGAUCCCGCAGGUCUCGCUGAUUAUUGCUGGAUUCAGAGAGAGACAUCACCGGGGUACACAGGAGCCUUUUAGUUUCACACUCUACAUAGAUAGCAGGCAUUACUGGGGCUU